rnacentral:rRNA from 1 species
UACGGAGGGUGCGAGCGUUGUCCGGAAUCACUGGGCGUAAAGGGCGCGUAGGCGGCCUGGUAAGUAGGGGGUGAAAUCCUGCGGCUUAACCGCAGGGCUGCCUUCUAAACUGUCAGGCUCGAGCACGGUAGAGGCAGAUGGAAUUCCCGGUGUAGCGGUGGAAUGCGUAGAGAUCGGGAAGAACAUCAGUGGCGAAGGCGGUCUGCUGGGCCGUUGCUGACGCUGAGGCGCGACAGCGUGGGGAGCAAACGGG